rnacentral:rRNA from 1 species
GUGAGGAAUAUUGGUCAAUGGUCGAGAGACUGAACCAGCCAAGUAGCGUGCAGGAUGACGGCCCUAUGGGUUGUAAACUGCUUUUAUACGGGGAUAAAGUGAGCCACGUGUGGUUUUUUGCAGGUACCGUAUGAAUAAGGACCGGCUAAUUCCGUGCCAGCAGCCGCGGUAAUACGGAAGGUCCGGGCGUUAUCCGGAUUUAUUGGGUUUAAAGGGAGCGCAGGCGGGUUGUUAAGCGUGACGUGAAAUGUAGCCGCUCAACGGCUGAACUGCGUCGCGAACUGGCAGUCUUGAGUGAGUACGACGUCAGCGGAAUUCGUGGUGUAGCGGUGAAAUGCUUAGAUAUCACGAAGAACCCCGAUUGCGAAGGCAGCUGACGAGUCCUUUACUGACGCUAAAGCUCGAAGGUGCGGGUAUCGAACAGG